UCUCUCUCCCCUGUCAGGUGUUUAAGCCUCGCACGCCCCCCGAGGCCAUCGCUCUGUGCUCCCGGCUGCUGGAGUACACGCCGGUGACCCGGCUGUCUCCGCUGGAGGCGUGUUCGCACGCCUUCUUCGACGAGCUCCGUCAGCCCAACACCCGCCUGCCCAGCGGGCGAGAACUGCCGCUCCUCUUCAACUUCAGUCCCGUCGAGCUGUCUAUCCAGCCCCAGCUGAACUCCACACUCAUUCCUCCUCACGCUCGUGCACAGACAUCGCCUGCCUCACAUGAGGGCGGUGUGUCAGACAGUACCGCCCAGCCCAGCUCAGCACCCGGAUCCAUCAACAACAGCACCUGAGCACCUCCCCCCUCCCAUCCUUUUAUUUUCGUCUUCCCCCCAUCUUCCCCUUUCUCUCCUCUGCUCUUCUUCCUCUCAACCUUCCUCCUGGCUCCAAAACCCCUCUUUAAAAAUAGAAAUAACUUCACACACACUCAGCAGUGCUAUUGUCCCUGACUCUUUAACCAUUUCCAAUAGAAAGCAAUCUCUGUGGCUGCUAGCUUCUGGAAGGUGUGGGCUUUUUUAAGGAUAUUUGGGGAGCCAAGCGUGGGUUUAAAAUACGCUGAGGCUCAUCCGUUAGAAUAAAUCAACUCGACAUUGGUUGGGUUUAUUGGGAUAAAAAGGACGGGGGGGUUGUACAUGUUAUGUGGAUUUUCUCUGUAUUAUAACUGACUUUUAUCCCUUUUUAUGUUAAUUUUUAUUUGCAUUGGUGUAUUUUAUGUGUGGCCGUGGUGCCAUUAAAUGGGGUCCUGAUUGGCUUUUGAGUUGAAAGGUCGUGUGAGAGGCCUGACUAAUAAUGACAAUCAUCUUUAGUGGGGUCAUAAAUGGCACGCACGUAGUGUACACACUUGAUUAUAAGACCCACUGUGUAGCCUGGAGGCUCUUUCUACCUUCAAUUUACUCAAGUAUUGUCAGUUCAUCCAGCGGCACGGGGACCACGUGGAGACUUUUUUUUUUUUAAUCUUCAACUUUGACCCCAGAAUAUAUUGGCUGAUUUUAGAGUUGGUUUUACAUUUUAUUCAAAAAGAAAUGCACCACAGCCUGUCUUUUUAAAAAGUUUCCUUUUGAAUAUUAGCUCCUCGACUGCCUUUUAUGUGAAUGAGAGGGAGUAGAGUGCAUCGUUUCUUCGCGAUAAGCUCAUGUGUUCAUCGAUUAAGCUACAAGCUUCUCUUAUUGCAUCUCCAAAAGGGAGCAGAGCGGAAGCAAAGGGGUGAGUUGUGUUAGUCCAGCUGUUAUCAUAACGUCACACACAGGUUGGAUGUGGGGCUCCAGUUGCAUCUAAUACAGAAGCCUCACAUGUCAUAAACACCACCUCGUUAAUCAUGUCACUUUGUGGUUUGUUAUGGGCUUGAUUGUGUUGAUCAGGCUCAAGAGAGAGACUCCGGACACCUUCCCCGCUCACCUGGCUCCUCAUUUCACACAGUUGUUUCCGUGCAGGAGGAGGACUGAAUUUGGUUUGUCAGACCGACUGGCUGAAAACCCUCUUCCCAAACAGUGCAACGCUUCUAUCAUGUUCUUCUCGUCCCUCUGUGGUGUUAGUCGGAACUGAUGGUGAAUGAUUUGCGCCGUCGGCAGUUGUCUUUCAGACGUGCAUGUUCAGCCCACACUAUAUUGCUUCCACUAAUCUCAGUAAUAAUCCGACCGAUGCUCAAACCCUGAAACCCGGCGUCUUUUUGGAGCCUCCCCUUCCUCCUCCUCCUCCUCCUCCUCCUCCCUUCUGCUUCCCUCUUUCCUCCUCCUUUUUUCACUGCUAAACUGUAAAUAUCAAGUACCUUUUAUUUUGUUAUUUUUAUUGUUAUUAUAUUGUUGUCCUUGUAAUUUUUUUCCUCUAGUAGACCGGCGCAGCAGCGUCCGGACUGUUUAUCCUCAGUCGCAGUCUGUAAAUACGAUUUCAUUUCAGUCCCUGGUUCAGGAGGGGAAACACAGAACAAAAUGUUUCAUUUUUACUCUCUCUCCCUCCAUUUCUCUUUUCACCACUUUCCCUUUCCCCCUAUAAAUGUUGUCAUAACUGUUUUAUUUAUUGUAUUGUGUUGUUUUUUUUGGGCGGGGUGGGGGAUUCGUUUCCACUGCAGUGGUACAAUUGAGGUUUUUCUUUUUUUUUUAUUCCAAAUUUGAGUCCAACUAUGUCACAUGCAAAACGAUUUCACAUCCAAGAUACUGUACAGAGAUCCGGACGUUGGUGUGUGUGCUUUCCAAUCAGUGCUGUCGUGUGUAUGCACAUAAGAGCCAACACGUGGAACUCCUGUUUUUUCAUUUAACUUCAAUGUGAAGGGAAUGUUACAAGCCUCUGGAUCUACAGGGUCGUGGUGUUGAGGGAGCACGGAUAACCCUGUGUGAGUGUGUGUGUAUGUGUGUGUGUGUGUGUGUGUGUGAGAGAGAGUGUGAGAGAGAGUGAGUGUGUGUGUCUGGAGGAAAGGGGAAAUAAUGAAUCUGUCCAUUGACAUGUAUCAUCUCCUGUGUCCGACCGUCUCCUGUUUCGCUUACUGUGUUUAGUAUGAGUGUACAGGUGUUAGGAUGUGUGUAUUCUUCACAGAUGCUUUGUGUGUGUGUGUGUGUGUGUGUGUGUGUAGACCAUUGACAUUAUUCUAAGUACUCCUGACUUUUUUUCCUAAAAAUGAAGAGCUCAUUAAAUGUGCUAUUUUUAAUGUUUUUUUCUUCCAUCUUCUGAUCUGUCACACUUUGUUUUUAAUUUGCUGUGGCCCUGCGCUUUUAUCUCUCGUCUGAGGGUAAAUGUCAAAGUUGGUAAACGGAACGGUUGGAUAAAGGAGAUGAUGAAAAGAGAGGGAUGGAGGGAGAGAGACAGUUUUUGUUUGUUGGUAUAAAUAAUUAAACUCAUUAAUAAAGUGAUGAAACAGU